rnacentral:tRNA from 1 species
AGGUGGCUAGCUCAGUUGGCAGAGCAGGGGGCUUUUAACCUCCAGGUCGUAGGGUUCGAAUCCCACGCCACCUACCA